UAAAAAACUCUUAGAAACGAAUAUCUCAGCUCUUGCAUUGAUGAAGAACAUAGCGAAAUACAAUACUUGGUGUAAAUUGUAGAAUCCCGUGAACCAUUGAGUAUUUGAACGUAAGUUACGCCGGAAGCCAUUAGGCCUAGUGCACGUCUGCCUGGGCGUCACAC
rnacentral:rRNA from 1 species